rnacentral:rRNA from 1 species
CUCAGGAUGAACGCUGGCGGCGUGCUUAACACAUGCAAGUCGAGCGAUUCUCUUACGGAGAAGAGCGGCGGACGGGUGAGUAACGCGUGGGUAACCUGCCUCAUACACAUGGAUAACAUACCGAAAGGUAUGCUAAUACGAGGAUGACAUAAGAAAUUCACAUGGAUUUCUAUCAAAGCUCCGGCGGUAUGAGAUGGACCCGCGUCUGAUUAGCUAGUUGGUAAGGUAACGGCUUACCAAGGCGACGAUCAGUAGCCGACCUGAGAGGGUGAUCGGCCACAUUGGAACUGAGACACGGUCCAAACUCCUACGGGAGGCAGCAGUGGGGAAUAUUGCACAAUGGGCGAAAGCCUGAUGCAGCAACGCCGCGUGAGUGAUGAAGGCCUUCGGGUCGUAAAACUCUGUCCUCAAGGAAGAUAAUGACGGUACUUGAGGAGGAAGCCCCGGCUAACUACGUGCCAGCAGCCGC